UUGCAUGAUACUAUCCAUAGAAUGAAUCUAUUGAUUCUGAUGCCUUUUCCUCUCCCAAAGCAUUUACAUAGCGCAUUGAACAAUCUCACUAUGCAUCGUGAGGAGACUCAACUGCUGAUAUUCAGCUAUCCACCCGCCUUUGCUCUUCCCAGUCGAUGAAGUUCGGCAACUUCAGUUGCCAACUCUGGGAUGAGUACGAGGAACUCACCUCCCGAGCGCUCACAGUUUAGGGCGAGAGGCUUUACAUCUGUACAUGUACAUGCAUGUAAGUCUGAGAAUAGAAUGAAGUAAGAUGGUUACAAACUAUCUGUUAGGCCACUAAGGCAAAAGAUCUCUCUCACACCAGCGCCAUGCUGGUAGAAGAGGGGACGAACCAAUCCAGACCCCCAACACUAUCUAAGCUAGGUAGCUUGUGAUUCUUGCCUGCUGAUCGGCUCCCAUACCGAGUUCCGUGGUUAUCGCGCAGCAUUACUUCCAAGAGUCUACCAUACAAAUAAUAUGGAAAGAUCUUUUGAAUCUUUGGUGAUUGGCAGCUCCUACGUGGGAGAAAGUAAUUGACCUUUUGGAACAAACUACAGCCUCAGGAACUUGGCCUGCGAAAUGGCCCAUUUAUCAGAGACUUCUCCCGACUCGCCUGUCAUUUGGGAUUACUGAGUUGUGCCUGGAUGAGAUUUUUCGCCCAUCCUAUACAGCAUAGUAUCCCUGCCUAUAAAACUUGAAUUCGACGUCCAGCCUGCUGAUAACGGGGGCCGAGAUGAUCCUUCGACAUAAUAUCCUUCUUUUCGGAGCUAUUUCGUUUAUUCUACACGACUCAAACUAUCCAUUACUCUUCAUGGGUGAAGUAACGGGCUUUUACAGAUCCCUACUCAUACAGACCAAGGGCCUGAGAAUUUCUUCAACGUGAC
rnacentral:sRNA from 2 species